rnacentral:rRNA from 1 species
AACGAACGCUGGCGGCAUGCCUAACACAUGCAAGUCGAACGAGACCUUCGGGUCUAGUGGCGCACGGGUGCGUAACGCGUGGGAACCUGCCCUUAAGUUCGGCAUAACUCCCCGAAAGGGGUGCGAAUACCGGAGAAUGUCUUCGGACCAAAGAUCGAGCGCCUUUGGAUGAGCCCGCGUUGGAUUGGCUAGUUGGUAGGGUAAAAGCCUACCAAGGCGACGAGCCAUAGCUGGUCUGAGAGGAUGGUCAGACACACUGGGACUGAGACACGGCCCAGAAUACUACGCGAGGCAGCAGAGGCGAAUAUAGGCCAGUGGGCGGAAGGAUGAACCAGCAAGGAUGGGUGAGUGAUGAAGGUCUUAGGGUUGUACAGCUAUUUUAUACCGGAUUAUAUUGACAUUACCGGGAGAAUAAGCACCGGCUAACUUCGUG